rnacentral:rRNA from 1 species
GACGAACGCUGGCGGCGUGCCUAACACAUGUAAGUCGAACGGGAUUGGGGGGGCAACUCUCCAAUUCAGUGGCAGACGGGUGCGUAACACGUGAGAAACUUGUCCAUCGGUGGGGGAUAGCCGGCCCAACGGCCGGUUAAUACCGCGUACGAUCGUUUGGGGGCAUCCCCGAAUGAUGAAAGCAUCGCAAGAUGCGCCGGCGGAGAGUCUCGCGGCCUAUCAGCUAGUUGGCGGGGUAACGGCCCACCAAGGCGACGACGGGUAGCUGGUCUGAGAGGAUGGCCAGCCACAUUGGGACUGAGACACGGCCCAGACUCCUACGGGAGGCAGCAGUGGGGAAUCUUGCGCAAUGGCCGCAAGGCUGACGCAGCGACGCCGCGUGUGGGAUGAAGGCCUUCGGGUUGUAAACCACUGUCAGGGGGAACGAAUACACGCUUCGUGCGUGGGUGACGGUACCUCCAAAGGAAGCACCGGCUAACUCCGUGC